AACAUUAGAUCACCCUUUAGAAGAGCUGUUCAGAUUUAUCAGAAUCAAGGAAGGAAGCUAGAUUCUCUUACUACCGACUUUAAAUUGUAGGUAGCCACAUCUUUUACAUUGCAUAAUGGCAGUUUGAUAUUGAUACUAAGAAGGUUACACUAACAUGUACUGGUUAAAAUAAUCACUGACUGAGAGCUGGGAUUUAGGCAAUUACCAUGGCCCUUUCCUUUCUCCAUAGUAACAGAACCCCCCAUUUUUAAUUAAACUCACAGGCACAUUUAUUGGUUUCCUUUACAACUUGAUGUAACCAUGUCUCUAGGUGCUGACCAAUGGGAAAUGCAGGGAACUGUCAUGCCAUUUCAGUAAACUUUGCUAAAGAAAGCUUAAGAUACCUUUUGUCCCUUUCUUCUCCACCCCUUCUUCCUUUAGUGGCACUUGGAUAGGAUGGCUUGAAUUCCAACCACCAUGUUGGGACCCUGAGGACAAAAUUCUCACUCUAGAGACACCAGAGCACUAAGUGGAAGAGGCCAAGUCCUGAGGACUUUGUGAAGCAGAGUUGCCAGUCAGUCCUCAACUGCCCACCUCCUACAUGUUCACAAAAGAGAAACAAAUGUCUCUCUUAUUCGAGCUACUGUAGUUUGGGUCUUUGUUACAGGAAGCCAAUACCUAUCCUAAUUGAUGUAGGUUCAUAAUAAAGAAACACUCCACUAAGAGCAAAGGAUACAGCAGGGAUUGGCCUGUGCCAGUAGCUUCCCGUAUUAUAGAGGCUUCUGUCCUUUUAACAAACAAACAGAAAGGAUGCCUCCUUCUUUAUAUUUCCUAGGUACCUUCAUAGACUCCCCCUUCCCUCACAAAAGGCCUAAAGCCCUCAAGUCAAGUAUUGGGUACUCAAUUCCCAUCUAUUGCCAAUAAAUUCAAUAAAAUGUUUUUACAUUUUUUUAUUUUUCUCCAUUUCUUCAUUUGUCUCAGUCACUGCUACUUUUACUCGCAAUCGAGUGUCUCAGUCACUCGCUACUUUUACUGCUACUUUUGCUCUAUAAUCUGGUUUGUUAAAAACAGUGAUGAGAGGGGACACCAUUGCCUUGUUCCUGGUCUUCGUGGGAGACAUUAUGCUAUACACUUUCCAUGCAGAUCUCAGAAAAUCUCUGCAAAGACCCUGUGAGAUAAGAACUAUUGUAAUUCUUUUUUUUUUUUUCAUCUAAGGAUACUAAAACCAAGCGAGGUCAUGACCAAGGUUACAUGUUUUAUAAGUGGUUACAGGUGAGAUUUGAACUCUCAUAUUCUGCCUCCACUAUCUGGCUUCUUAGCUACUAUUUCAGGCACUAAGACAACCUGGAAAAAGGAUCAAGAUCCAAGAGAUACUCAGACUUUUCAGCAAGUAAACAGAGCCAUGGAGGUAUUAAAACGAGCAUAUAUUGCAAAAGCUACUCAAUUGACUAACAUUUAGAAUCUAUCUGAAUUAUACCUUAAUAGAUAAAGCUCAGGGGAAUCAGUCUGCUGAAUUCACCAUAUUCCUCUCUUAUAAUUAAUUUAGUCAUACACAUGCUCCUAGAAACGACACUGUUAGCAGUCACACAACAGAAAUUAAUGUGAUGCCACCCUAAACCUCUGAGGUCCCUGUUCUAAAAUGCAAUGGCCUGGGAGCCUGGGUGGCUCAGUUGGUUGAACGACCAACAUCCGCUCAGGUCAUGAUCUCACAGUCUGUGAGUUGGAGCCCCGAACUGUGCUUGCCGCUAUGAGCACAGAGCCUGCUUCAGAUCUUCUGUUCCCCUCUCCUUCUGUCCCUCCCCUGCGCGCGCUCUCAAUCUCAAAAAUAAAUUUUAAAAACCUUAAAAAAUUUUUUAAAUAAAAUGGGCAUUUUUGAAAGUACAAAUACAGAGAGUAACAUCUUCUGAAAUCAGUUAGCAACAAGAGCAAACCUGAUGAGACCAUGCAUAUUGUCACCGCAGGCAACACCCUCUGCUUGUGUUGUAAUGGCUCACCUGUUGUAGUGGGUGGGAGAAGAAACAAAUUGCUCCUCACCCACGUGACCAGAAACAAUCUUCAAGGGAGAUUACAUUUUAGGAAGGGCUUCUCUUCAAGCAAGAAAAGUAGCACUUCUCCUUUCUGUGUGGACUUCGCACUAAAGGAGAUUCACCCAAGUUUGGGCUUAGAUGUCAAGAGCCGGAAGAUAAAUUUUGCUGAAUUCUGAAAGUGCACUCAGUUCACUGAGUGGCUUUUGGUGUGUGUGGGGGGGGGAGGGAUGGUGGAUGGGUGAUAUUCUCUUAUUCUUACACCUGUGUCCCAAAUACAGUGACUGCUGUGAAUAGCAGGAUCCCGAAUGAUCCAGAGGAACUCAGCUGUUCCUCUGGGUGUGAGUGGAAACAGGGGGAGAUGCAGUUCAUUUGCAUAAGGACCACAGGUGUCCUACAGGAGUGACUGAAUGUGGUGAGGCUGAGAGAGGGCUCAACUGUUGGAAUGAAGUCUUCUCUAGCACCCCAGUCCUGCACUCAGAUUCACCCUCAGGGAGAGGCUGUAGGUACUCUAUUCAUUUCCUGUGGCCGCUGUACCAAGUUACCACACACCAGGGGCUUAAAACACCCGUUCUCUUUCAGUUCUGCAGGCUGCAAAUCCAAAGUCACUAUCUCUGGGCGGAAACCAAGGUGUUGGCAGGACCACGAGGGAGGAUCUCAGAGAAAAUCUGCUCUUUGCCACUUGGAGCUUCUGGGGGCCACAGCACUCCUUGGCCUGUGGUCAUGUGACUCCACUCCUCAAGGUCAGCAUCCUCAAACAUCUCUCUCUGCUCUGGCUUCCCAUGGCCUUCUCCUCUGUAUCACUCUUAUUAGGAUACACGGGAUUAUAUUGGGAUUCCACUCUGAUAACCCAGGACAGUCUCCGCAUCUCAAGAGCCUUGAACUAAAUCACAGAUGCAAAGAUUUUGCUGUAUAAAUUAACAUUCACGAGUUCUGGGGAUUAAGACCUGGUAUCUUUGGGGACUACUAUUCAGCCUACUACAGAAACAGAAGCCUGACCGUGGAGUCUGUAGGGAAUACUUUCUUGGCCAGGUCCCCAGAAAUUACUCUAUCUUUCUAAUGAAGGACGGCAGUUAAACAAUGACUCUAAGUACAGUAAUAUAUGUGCAUCUGCUAUUUAAAUACAAUUUGUUAAGGUUGCUAAUAUAGCCAAGGAAAUCAUAGAUUUGUUCAACAUUCAGCUACUUUCCGUCGAGCAGUCAACCCCCAAAUUAUUUGGGUUUUGCCUGGACCAUUAUUUCAAUUUAAUUAAUGCUGUAAAAAGGAAUGUGAGUGUAUUUAUGUGGAAUCAAGUUACAAAAUGUUAAAUUUAGUAUAUGUUUUCUGAGGUGCGGCUCAUUCGUGACUUCUGUUCCUAUAAUCUCGUGUUUGCACAGCUGGUAACCGUAAAUUCGACGUAAAACACCAUUUGAAAAGCCAGCAGACAUUUCACUGACCUUGAGGGUGAAUUUGUCACUGCUUAAUUCUAUGAUGAUCUAUAUUCUGGUCUGUUGCCUUUGCAGGAAGGUAAUGGCUAUGGUGUUACUCACUUGCUGGGGGUCCAAGGUUGGCCCAGCUUGUCACGUCACAAGAUAUGUGAACCACGCCCAGAACUUUUUCCUGAUCUAACCACAGAGAUGAAUACUGACCCAUCCCAUUUGAUUAAGCAAAGGUAUAAUCCUGGCACUGGGGAAGAGGGGGGUGGGGUGGGUGAUGCUCAGAGAGUUCCAAGUUCAGUGGCAGCUAUAGUUAACCUCAGACUCAGAGGUCUCAGGGAUGUGGAGGCAAAGGAUGUUAUUCAUUGAAAGCAGAACACACCCUCUUUCUAACCACCAUCUUCCUAUCAAGGAAGGCUCUAUUGCCCUUCAUUCUAGCCCUUUAUCAGCAGUUGGUUCCUUUCACAUCCUUUUCUAAUGGCCUGGAAAGGGGAUCUUGGUUUCUAAGAGUGGCCCUGAGUACAGUGAGCAAAGCCUUGCGAUGAAAAUGCCUGCCCAAGUUCCUCCUUUUCAGUUUCUAACAGGCUCUGAAUGGCUUGCAAAGGAAAAUGGAUCUUCAGCAGCUGCCUUCAAGGUUACCAACCCCCUCUCCCCUCCAGCCCCUGCCAACCCCACAAAAAGUACAUACUCUCCUUCACGAGGACCUGAGAGGCCGCCAGUCAAUGGCUGACAGAAAUGGAAAAUCGAUUUCAGAUUUAUCUCCGCUGGGAAUUAAGUAUAUUCCUUAGAAAUAAUGAAUUAUGAGGUCAUCGAGGGCUUGUUCUUUUUCCUGCUUGCAGAGACAUUUUAAUUGAAGAAAAAGUGACGAAUGAACAGGACAUUCUAAUUCCAGUGAUGUGCUUUUUCCCAUUUUAAUGUCAGCUGAACCACAAAAAUGUUCAUUUUUCUCUCUUCAUUAUUCCUCAGGGUUCAGGAGGAACACUGUUGCCAAAGGGGAAAAAAACUGGGUAACUCCUGCUCCCUCCACCCAGCUUUCAAAACACUCAGUAAGAUACAGCUCUGGCCUCAGC
rnacentral:lncRNA from 1 species